rnacentral:misc_RNA from 1 species
UUUCCGUAGGUGAACCUGCGGAAGGAUCAUUAUUGGAUUUUGAAACUUCAGGCUGCUGCUGGCUCUCCUCGGAGGGCAUGUGCACGCUUGUUGUCCAUUAUUUCUCCCACUGUGCACAAAUUGUAGACCUUUCAGUAGGCCUAUGUUGUUUUUCACAAUCUCUGAAUGUAAUAGAAUGGUUUUGAAUCUUGGGAAAUAUAAUACAACUUUCAGCAACGGAUCUCUUGGCUCUC